rnacentral:rRNA from 1 species
CUACGGGGGGCAGCAGUGAGGAAUAUUGCACAAUGGGGGGAACCCUGAUGCAGCAACGCCGCGUGGAGGAUGACGCAUUUCGGUGUGUAAACUCCUUUUAUAUGUCAAGAAAAUGACGGUAGCAUAUGAAUAAGCACCGGCUAACUCCGUGCCAGCAGCCGCGGUAAUACGGAGGGUGCAAGCGUUACUCGGAAUCCCUGGGCGUAAAGGACGCGUAGGCGGGUUGGAAAGUCAGGUGUGAAAUCCUACAGCUUAACUGUAGAACUGCACUUGAAACUUCUAAUCUAGAGUAUGGGAGGGGGAGGUGGAAUUAGUGGUGUAGGGGUAAAAUCCGUAGAUAUCACUAGGAAUACCUAAAGCGAAGGCGAUCUCCUGGAACAUUACUGACGCUAAGGCGUGAAAGCGUGGGGAGCAAACAGGAUUAGAUACCCCAGUAGUC